UUAGUACUCCCUCCGUCCUAAAAUUCUCGUCUUAGAUUUGUCUAGAUAUGAAUGUAUCNNGUCACGUUUUAGUAUUUAGAUACAUCUAUUUUUAGACAAACAUAAGACAAGAAUUUUGGGACGGAGGGAGUAGUAU
rfam:Hordeum vulgare subsp. vulgare, WGS project CAJW01000000 data, contig: morex_contig_2549438